rnacentral:rRNA from 1 species
CCUACGGGAGGCAGCAGUGGGGAAUUUUGGACAAUGGGCGCAAGCCUGAUCCAGCUAUUCCGCGUGUGGGAUGACGGCCCUCGGGUUGUAAACCACUUUAGUAGAGAACGCAAAGGCGCUAACGAAUAAAUAGCUCUGCUGACGGUACUCUAAGACUAAGCACCGGCUAACUACGUGCCCGCAGCCGCGGUGAUACGUAGGGUGCGAGCGGUAAUCGGAAUUACUGGGCGUAAAGGGUGUGCAGGCGGCUGAGUAAGGCAGAUGUGAAAGGCCCGGGCUUAACCUGGGCACCGCAGAUGUUACUGCUUGGCUGGAGUGGGUCAGAGGGAGGUGGAAUGCGACGUGUAGCAGUGAAAUGCGUAGAUAUGGGGAAGAACACCGAUGGCGAAGGCAGCCUCCUGGGACGCAACUGACGCUGAUGCACGAAAGCGUGGGGAGCAAACAGGAUUAGAUACCCUUGUAGUC